rnacentral:rRNA from 1 species
UACGGAGGGGGCUAGCGUUGUUCGGAAUUACUGGGCGUAAAGCGCACGUAGGCGGCUUUGUAAGUUAGAGGUGAAAGCCCGGAGCUUAACUCCGGAACUGCCUUUAAGACUGCAUCGCUAGAAUCGUGGAGAGGUGAGUGGAAUUCCGAGUGUAGAGGUGAAAUUCGUAGAUAUUCGGAAGAACACCAGUGGCGAAGGCGACUCACUGGACACGUAUUGACGCUGAGGUGCGAAAGCGUGGGGAGCAAACAGG